UGAAUAAAAAUUUUAAACAUGUUUUUACAAAAGUUUAUAAAUAUUAAAAAAUCUAGUGGGUUCGAUUGAUCUGGGAUAUCCAUGGAUGCAUACGAUUGUCUCUAUAGUCCAUUCCAUUGAUUGAGAGAGGAAGUCCUUUGAUGGAUGGUUAGGAAAUUCUAGAGUGAGUUUGCAUUGAAACACUCGGGGAAUAGUAAGGUUGGGAGGUAAUAAUAAUUUUUUUUAAUAAUUUUAGGGGAUAAGAGUAUUUUUUUUUUCUUUCUUUAAUUGGUAUUUAUAAACACAUGGUUCUCCACUAAAGCUCGAAUUCUUAACAUUCUUUUGAAAAGUAAAAACUGAUACUGCUAGGCUAAUAUUUUAUGAAUAUAUAAUUUAAAAAUCCAAAUUCACAAGGAUACAUUACUAAAAAAAAAAAAAAAAUCCGGGGGGUUUCCAACAUGUAGGUCCGUCCUAGGAAACAUCGAGUUUCCACCUGAUUCAAACACCAGUCUAAGAUGAUUCUAAAUGCACAUGAUUUCUCAAAAACUCUAGAAAAAUUUUCUAACUAAUUUUCAUAUAAUUUUGAAAAUAAAAAGUAUAUAUUUUUGCUUUUAUUCACAAGACCAAGUCUCAUGAUUUUGCAUAUUGUUCAAAUAUAUUUGAGAGAUUACUUGUGAGGUAUAGUACAUUUUUUUUUUAUUUUUUAUUUUUACAACAAUCAUCAUACCUAUUAGAAUUUGGCGAGCUGUUGGGCAUACGCAUUAGUAUUUGGUGAGUUGUUGGGCAUAAUGUAAGAAACCCUCCUAAAUUAUUGAAAAACUUGCAACUUACCUUCUAAACUACUAAAGUUGCAAAAAACUUCCUAUAUUUAUUGCUGAUGAUCCCACCCAACAACGUACCGGUUGAUUCUCGCCUUUAAAAUUGAACGUGUAGGCAACGGGGAUAAGGGUGUGUUUGCGUGAAAUAUAAGUUGGGUGUUUGGGUCAUUGUCACAAUAGCCAACCCAAACACACUCUCAUACCGCCGGCAACACACUCCCUUUUGCUAUUCACACCCUCUGCCGGCUAUACACAAAAGGGUGUCCUUCACCGUUCAUCUUCAACCUCGUAACCUGUCGAUCAUUUGGCUGUGCAUAUGACAUCCCAAGAUUAAAUUGUUGCAAUCAACUGCGUGUAAAGUGGGUGAAUCGAUCUGUGAACGAGUGAUGAUCCAUGGGUUCCACUGAAAGAAUUAAGUACUUGAGUUUGUAUUUGGUUAAGGAAUUGAUGAAGGUUGUGACACAAGCUUUGGGCGAAGUUUAGGAGAGAAUGUCUUCUUUGGAGCUCUGUAGUCGCUUGUUGGCUGCGUUCUAAGACCUAUCUUUUCCCUCAGUCUCAGCAUCUAUCCACUAGAUCCAAGUUUGACAAAGGUGAUUUCCCUAAAAACAGGACAAAAUCGUGAUUCUAGAGCUUAAAUACCAUUUACGAGGCUUAUAGAGUUGUACCAGACCAUCCGAGGCAAGUUUAGAGUCAAUCAGGGGAUUCUGGAGACGUUCAAGUGCUAGAGCUCGAGCACAACCAUUUUUGCUAGACCACAAAGUAGAAUGAAGCAAGAAAAGUUACUAAGGCAAAAUUUCUUGAGCACAAGAUUUUCUGCUCGAGCACAAAAUAAAAAGCUCGAGCCUUUUCCAAAAAGUUUGAGCACAAAUUCCCCUGGGAAGAUGAAAAGAUGCUUCCGAAAUUUCAAUUGCCAGAGCUUGAGCAUUUCUCAAAAAGCUGGAGCAGAAGUCCACCUGGGAAGAUGAAAAGACGCUUUGAAAAUCCAAGUUCGAAAAGCUCGAGCCAUUUCCAAAAAGGUCGAGUAGAAGCUGGCUUGAGCACAAGAUUUUAUGCUGAAGCACCCUAGGCAUAGUGCUCGACUACCUUGCUGGAAAAUCCUAAAAUUUGGCUAAGUGUUGGGCAAAAAGAUGCUUCGAAUUUUUUUUGAAGAAAUUUGGCUAAGUAUGAAAUUAAUGCUUAUAAU